rnacentral:rRNA from 1 species
UCCGCAGGUGGGACGGUCAGUCUGUGGUGACAGCCCCUGGCUUAACUGGGGGGAGGCCCAUGGAUACUGCCGUUCUUGAGUCACGGAGAGGGAAGCGGAAUUCCGGGUGUAGUGGUGGAAUGCGUAGAGAUCCGGAGGAACUCCAAAGGCGCAAGCAGCUUCCUGGCCGAGGACUGACACUGAGGGACGAAAGCGUGGGGAGCAAACA